rnacentral:rRNA from 1 species
AGAGUUUGAUCAUGGCUCAGAUUGAACGCUGGCGGCAGGCUUAACACAUGCAAGUCGAGCGGGGGAAGGUAGCUUGCUACCGGACCUAGCGGCGGACGGGUGAGUAAUGCUUAGGAAUCUGCCUAUUAGUGGGGGACAACAUCUCGAAAGGGAUGCUAAUACCGCAUACGUCCUACGGGAGAAAGCAGGGGAUCUUCGGACCUUGCGCUAAUAGAUGAGCCUAAGUCGGAUUAGCUAGUUGGUGGGGUAAAGGCCUACCAAGGCGACGAUCUGUAGCGGGUCUGAGAGGAUGAUCCGCCACACUGGGACUGAGACACGGCCCAGACUCCUACGGGAGGCAGCAGUGGGGAAUAUUGGACAAUGGGCGCAAGCCUGAUCCAGCCAUGCCGCGUGUGUGAAGAAGGCCUUAUGGUUGUAAAGCACUUUAAGCGAGGAGGAGGCUACUUUAGAUAAUACCUAGAGAUAGUGGACGUUACUCGCAGAAUAAGCACCGGCUAACUCUGUGCCAGCAGCCGCGGUAAUACAGAGGGUGCAAGCGUUAAUCGGAUUUACUGGGCGUAAAGCGCGCGUAGGCGGCUAAUUAAGUCAAAUGUGAAAUCCCCGAGCUUAACUUGGGAAUUGCAUUCGAUACUGGUUAGCUAGAGUGUGGGAGAGGAUGGUAGAAUUCCAGGUGUAGCGGUGAAAUGCGUAGAGAUCUGGAGGAAUACCGAUGGCGAAGGCAGCCAUCUGGCCUAACACUGACGCUGAGGUGCGAAAGCAUGGGGAGCAAACAGGAUUAGAUACCCUGGUAGUCCAUGCCGUAAACGAUGUCUACUAGCCGUUGGGGCCUUUGAGGCUUUAGUGGCGCAGCUAACGCGAUAAGUAGACCGCCUGGGGAGUACGGUCGCAAGACUAAAACUCAAAUGAAUUGACGGGGGCCCGCACAAGCGGUGGAGCAUGUGGUUUAAUUCGAUGCAACGCGAAGAACCUUACCUGGCCUUGACAUAGUAAGAACUUUCCAGAGAUGGAUUGGUGCCUUCGGGAACUUACAUACAGGUGCUGCAUGGCUGUCGUCAGCUCGUGUCGUGAGAUGUUGGGUUAAGUCCCACAACGAGCGCAACCCUUUUCCUU